CAAUAGCGUAUAUUAAAGUUGUUGCAGUUAAAAAGCUCGUAGUUGAAUUUCUGUCAGGAGUGACCGGGCCUUUGGAUGAACUUCCAUUGUUUUUUGCUCUGUUUGUCAUCUCUAGACAUCCUGAAAUAUUUUUUAAAAAUAUUUCUCUUUUACUGUUAGCAAAAUAGAGUGUUCCAAGCAAAGCGUAGUUUUGAGUACAUUAGAAUGGAAUAAUAAGAUAGGACUUUGGUGCUAUUUUGUUGGUUUGCACACCAAGGUAAUGAUUAAUAGGGACAGUUGGGGGUAUUCGUAUUUAAUUGUCAGAGGUGAAAUUCUUGGAUUUAUGAAAGACGAACUACUGCGAAAGCAUUUACCAAGGAUGUUUUCAUUAA
rnacentral:rRNA from 1 species